rnacentral:rRNA from 1 species
AAUGAACGUUGGCGGCGUGGAUUAGGCAUGCAAGUCGAGCGAGAACCGUAGCAAUACGGGGACAGCGGCGAAAGGGAGAGUAAUGCGUGGAUACCUACCCUCGGGUUCGGGAUAGCUACGGGAAACUGUAGGUAAUACCGAAUAAUAUCUCCGGAUCAAAGGUGUGAUUCCGCCGGAGGAGGGGUCCACGUCCUAUUAGCUAGUUGGCGAGGUAACGGCUCACCAAGGCGAAGAUGGGUAUGGGGUGUGAGAGCAUGCCCCCACUCACUGGGACUGAGACACUGCCCAGACACCUACGGGUGGCUGCAGUCGAGAAUCUUCGGCAAUGGGGGAAACCCUGACCGAGCGACGCCGCGUGCGAGAUGAAGGCCUUCGGGUUGUAAAUCGCUGUCAGAGGGGAGGAAAUGCUAGUGGGUUCUCCCAUUAGUUUGACCUAUCCUCAGAGGAAGGACGGGCUAAGUUCGUGCCAGCCGCCGCCGUAA